UGCCCUUGAGGCGUGGCUUCCGGAGCUAACGCGUUAAGUCGACCGCCUGGGGAGUACGGCCGCAAGGUUAAAACUCAAAUGAAUUGACGGGGGCCCGCACAAGCGGUGGAGCAUGUGGUUUAAUUCGAUGCAACGCGAAGAACCUUACCUGGUCUUGACAUCCACAGAACUUUCCAGAGAUGGAUUGGUGCCUUCGGGAACUGUGAGACAGGUGCUGCAUGGCUGUCGUCAGCUCGUGUUGUGAAAUGUUGGGUUAAGUCCCGCAACGAGCGCAACCCUUAUCCUUUGUUGCCAGCGGUCCGGCCGGGAACUCAAAGGAGACUGCCAGUGAUAAACUGGAGGAAGGUGGGGAUGACGUCAAGUCAUCAUGGCCCUUACGACCAGGGCUACACACGUGCUACAAUGGCGCAUACAAAGAGAAGCGACCUCGCGAGAGCAAGCGGACCUCAUAAAGUGCGUCGUAGUCCGGAUUGGAGUCUGCAACUCGACUCCAUGAAGUCGGAAUCGCUAGUAAUCGUGGAUCAGAAUGCCACGGUGAAUACGUUCCCGGGCCUUGUACACACCGCCCGUCACACCAUGGGAGUGGGUUGCAAAAGAAGUAGGUAGCUUAACCUUCGGGAGGGCGCUUACCACUUUGUGAUUCAUGACUGGGGUGAAGUCGUAACAAGGUAACCGUAGGGGAACCUGCGGUUGGAUCACCUCCUUACCUUAAAGAA
rnacentral:rRNA from 1 species